GUGAUUCAUGACUGGGGUGAAGUCGUAACAAGGUAACCGUAGGGGAACCUGCGGUUGGAUCACCUCCUUACCUUAAAAAAGCGUA
rnacentral:rRNA from 1 species